AAAGAUUCCUGUAGUUCCUUAAUACUGUUUUGAGUGGAAUUAUCUUCUUCUAAAGUAGGUGGCAAAGCUUUUACGUUUUUACCACCGGAAAUAGGGAGAACAUUCAGUUCGUCAUCAAUCACUAAACAAUUUUCGCAGUUUCCUAAAGAUAAAAUGAAUCUUUCAUUGAACCUUGCAGUUACAUCGCUAUGGGCUUCAGUACGGUAACGACUAUGGAUAUCCAUUGACAUUGUAUACAACUGUUUUAAGGAAUUUAACUUGUGUAACAAUAAAACCACGAUACCUCCACCUUCAACAGUUUCGAUUGUUCUUGCAAGCAAAUUGGGAGUUAAUGCUUCGAAGUCCUGCAAAACAAGCAUUCCAUAUGUUUGACCUAAAAUUUUUUCGGACUCUUUAUAAUAACAAUAUCUGAUAUUAGUUAUACUGCAGAAAAGCUCAAAUGGGUCUUCUGAAUUUGGAUCACGAAUUCCUCUUUUGAUUUCCUUUUUAAUUUUAUUUUCUCUCUUCUUUCGAUGGCUAUAUGGGUUAAUAAAAGUUUAAUUCUUUC